CCGCAAUGGACGAAAGCCUGACGGAGCACUUCCGCGUGAGGGAAGAAGGCCUUUGGGUCGUAAACCUCUUUUCUUAGGGAAGAAGACCUGACGGUACCUAAGGAAUAAGCCUCGGCUAACUCCGUGCCAGCAGCCGCGGUAAUACGGAGGAGGCAAGCGUUAUCCGGAAUUAUUGGGCGUAAAGCGUCCGUAGGUGGCCUUUCAAGUCUGCGGUUAAAGACUAGAGCUCAACUCUGGAAAGGCCGUGGAAACUUAGAAGCUAGAGUACGGUAGGGGUAGAGGGAAUUCCCAGUGUAGCGGUGAAAUGCGUAGAGAUUGGGAAGAACACCGGUGGCGAAAGCGCUCUACUGGGCCGAGACUGACACUGAGGGACGAAAGCUAGGGGAGCAAAAGGGAUUAGAUACCCCUGUAGUCCUAGCCGUAAACGAUGGAAACUAGGCGUAGCUUGUAUCGACCCGAGCUGUGCCGAAGCUAACGCGUUAAGUUUCCCGCCUGGGGAGUACGCACGCAAGUGUGAAACUCAAAGGAAUUGACGGGGGCCCGCACAAGCGGUGGAGUAUGUGGUUUAAUUCGAUGCAACGCGAAGAACCUUACCAGGGCUUGACAUCCCGCGAAUCUUGCCGAAAGGAGAGAGUGCCUUAGGGAACGCGGAGACAGGUGGUGCAUGGCUGUCGUCAGCUCGUGUCGUGAGAUGUUGGGUUAAGUCCCGCAACGAGCGCAACCCUCGUCCUUAGUUGCCAGCAUUAAGUUGGGCACUCUAGGGAGACUGCCGGUGACAAACCGGAGGAAGGUGGGGAUGACGUCAAGUCAGCAUGCCCCUUACGUCUUGGGCUACACACGUACUACAAUGGUUGGGACAAAGGGCAGCAAGCUCGCGAGAGUAAGCGAAUCCCAGCAAACGCAGCCUCAGUUCAGAUUGCAGGCUGCAACUCGCCUGCAUGAAGGUCUAGCCAUCGCCAGUAAUCGCCGU
rnacentral:rRNA from 1 species